CUCCUGUACUCCCUGUUCACCCACAACUGGGUGACCACACACACACGACUCCAACACCAUCAAUGAGUUUACCGACAACACAACGGUGUUGGACCUGAUCAGCAAAGAGACAGCCUACAGGCAGGAAGUUAGAGCCCUGGCACCGUGGUGAAAGGGAAACAGCCUCUCCGUGAAUGGCAGCAAAACUAAGGAGCUGGUUGUGGACGACAGGAGAAAGAGGGAAGAGCAGAACCCCAUCCACAUCGACGGGGCUGUUGAACCACGGACCGUUCACUCUGUUACAAUCUGGCAAGCGGUAUCCAAUAAUGUUGGUACCAUCUUUUGUGCUGCUACCAUGUUGUGUUGCUACCAUGUUGUUCUUCUACCAUGUUGUUCUUCUACCAUGUUGUUCUGCUACCAUGUUGUGCUGCUACCAUGUUGUUCUUCUACCAUGUUGUUCUUCUACCAUGUUGUUCUGCUACCAUGUUGUUCUGCUACCAUGUUGUGCUUCUACCAUGUUGUGCUGCUACCAUGUUGUGUGUGCCUCUACCAUGUUGUGCUGCUACCAUGUUGGGCUGCUAUCAGGUUGUGUGUGCUUCUACCAUGUUGUGCUUCUACCAUGUUGUGCUUCUACCAUGUUGUGCUGCUACCAUGUUGUGUGUGCCUCUACCAUGUUAUUCUUCUACCAUGUUGGGCUGCUAUCAGGUUGUGUUUUUAUCAUGUGUUGCUUUAAUGCUAUGUUGUCAUCUUGGUUAUUAUUUAUUUAUUUAUUUCACCUUUAUUUAACCAGGUAGGCAAGUUGAGAACAAGUCCUUUAUUUAACCAGGUAGGCAAGUUGAGAACAAGUUUUCAUUUACAACUGCGACCUGGCCAAGAUAAAGCAAAGCCGUUUGACACACACAACAACACAGAGUUACACAUGGAGUAAAACAAACAUACAGUCAAUAAUACAGUAGAAAAAUAAGUCUAUAUACAAUGUGAGCAAAUGAGGUGAGAUAAGGGAGGUAAAGGCAAAAAAGGCCAUGGUGGCGAAGUACAUACAAUAUAGCAAGUAAAACACUGGAAUGGUAGAUUUGUAGUAGAAGAAAGUGCAAAAUAGAAAUAGAAAUAAUGGGGUGCAAAGGAGCAAAAUAAAUACAUAAAUACAGUAGGGGAAGAGGUAGUUGUUUGGUUCUCUCUUUAUGUAGUGUUGUGGUGCUAAUGCUAAUGAUAAUGCUAGUUAAAUAAAGGUUAAAAAAUCAAUAAUACCACCUCUUCUAUUACUCUACUACUUGUUAUUUUGGACUAUUUUCAUUGUUAUUGUUCAUUAUUGAUUCAUGUACCUUUUAAUACCUGCUUUAAACUGGGUAUGUAUCAAAUACAUUUAUUGGAUUUUGUCUGAGCAGUGUGGUUAUUCCCUCUCUCUCUCUCUCUCUCUCUC
rnacentral:lncRNA from 1 species